GACAGAGGAGCCAAGCGUUGUCCGGAUUGACUGGGCGUAAAGCGCACGCAGGCGGUCGCGCGCGUGGGGUGUGAAAUCUGGCCGCUUAACGGCCAGGCGCCAUCCCAUACGGCGCGACUGGAGUGAUGCAGAGGUCGAUGGAAUUGCCGGUGUAGUGGUGAAAUGCGUAGAGAUCUCCAAGAACACCCGUUGCGAAGGCGGCCGACUGGACACAUAUUGACGCUGAGGCUCGAAAGCAUGGGGAGCAAACAGG
rnacentral:rRNA from 1 species